CCUGAGAAACCCAAAAGAUCGAAUGGGGAGAUUCAUCGUCAGCGAUCCUGGCACGUGUGCGGUUCGUGAUGCCGGAGACUUCGGUCUCAUGGCACACGUCCGCAUGGUUUUAUUGCCGGGUGUCGUCGGCGUGCACUUCUCCCCUAGUAGGACGUCGCGACCCGUUGGGUGUCGGUCUACGGCCCGGGUGGGCGCCUGUCAUGUGUUACGCUUCACGGCGUCAUGUGG
rnacentral:rRNA from 1 species